rnacentral:rRNA from 1 species
CGGCGGACGGGUGAGUAAUGCCUAGGAAUCUGCCUGGUAGUGGGGGACAACGUUUCGAAAGGAACGCUAAUACCGCAUACGUCCUACGGGAGAAAGCAGGGACCUUCGGGCCUUGCGCUAUCAGAUGAGCCUAGGUCGGAUUAGCUAGUUGGUGAGGUAAUGGCCCACCAAGGCGACGAUCCGUAGCUGGUCUGAGAGGAUGAUCAGCCACACUGGAACUGAGACACGGUCCAGACUCCUACGGGAGGCAGCAGUG